UGCCUACGGGAGGCAGCAGUGGGGGAUAUUGCACAAUGGGGGAAACCCUGAUGCAGCAACGCCGCGUGAGUGAAGAAGGUCUUCGGAUUGUAAAGCUCUGUUCUUGGUGAAGAUAAUGACGGUACCCGACCAAGAAGCCCCGGCUAACUACGUGCCAGCAGCCGCGGUAAUACGUAGGGGGCGAGCGUUAUCCGGAAUUACUGGGUGUAAAGGGAGCGUAGACGGCGAGGUAAGCCUGAAGUGGAAGCCCGCGGCCCAACCGCGCAACUGCUUUGGGAACUGUUUUGCUGGAGUAUGGGAGGGGG
rnacentral:rRNA from 1 species